rnacentral:rRNA from 1 species
UCAAGUCGACGAUGAUCUCCAGCUUGCUGGGGGGAUUAGUGGCGAACGGGUGAGUAACACGUGAGUAACCUGCCCUUGACUCUGGGAUAAGCCUGGGAAACUGGGUCUAAUACCGGAUACGACCGAUCACCGCAUGGUGUGUUGGUGGAAAGCUUUUGCGGUUUUGGAUGGACUCGCGGCCUAUCAGCUUGUUGGUGGGGUAAUGGCCUACCAAGGCGACGACGGGUAGCCGGCCUGAGAGGGUGACCGGCCACACUGGGACUGAGACACGGCCCAGACUCCUACGGGAGGCAGCAGUGGGGAAUAUUGCACAAUGGGCGAAAGCCUGAUGCAGCGACGCCGCGUGAGGGAUGACGGCCUUCGGGUUGUAAACCUCUUUCAGUAGGGAAGAAGCGUAAGUGACGGUACCUGCAGAAGAAGCGCCGGCUAACUACGUGCCAGCAGCCGCGGUAAUACGUAGGGCGCAAGCGUUAUCCGGAAUUAUUGGGCGUAAAGAGCUCGUAGGCGGUUUGUCGCGUCUGCUGUGAAAGACCGGGGCUCAACUCCGGUUCUGCAGUGGGUACGGGCAGACUAGAGUGAUGUAGGGGAGACUGGAAUUCCUGGUGUAGCGGUGAAAUGCGCAGAUAUCAGGAGGAACACCGAUGGCGAAGGCAGGUCUCUGGGCAUUAACUGACGCUGAGGAGAAAGCAUGGGGAGCGAACAGGAUUAGAUACCUGGUAGUCCAUGCCGUAAACGUUGGGCACUAGGUGUGGGGGACAUUCCACGUUUUUCCGCGCCGUACUAACGCAUUAGUGCCCCGCCUGGGGGAGUACGGCGCAAGGCUAAACCAAAGGAAUUG